CGAACGCUGGCGGCAGGCCUAAUACAUGCAAGUCGAACGGCUCUUCGGAGCAGUGGCGGACGGGUGAGUAACGCGUGGGAAUGUGCCCUUUGGUACGGAACAACACAGGGAAACUUGUGCUAAUAUCGUAUGUGCCCUUCGGGGGAAAGAUUUAUCGCCAUUGGAGCAGCCCGCGUUGGAUUAGGUAGUUGGUGAGGUAAAGGCUCACCAAGCCGACGAUCCAUAGCUGGUCUGAGAGGAUGAUCAGCCACACUGGGACUGAGACACGGCCCAGACUCCUACGGGAGGCAGCAGUAGGGAAUCUUGCGCAAUGGGCGAAAGCCUGACGCAGCCAUGCCGCGUGUAUGAUGAAGGUCUUAGGAUUGUAAAAUACUUUCACCGGGGAAGAUAAUGACGGUACCCGGAGAAGAAGCCCCGGCUAACUUCGUGCCAGCAGCCGCCGUAAAAC
rnacentral:rRNA from 1 species